rnacentral:rRNA from 1 species
GUGGGGAAUUUUGGACAAUGGGCGCAAGCCUGAUCCAGCAAUGCCGCGUGCAGGAAGAAGGCCUUCGGGUUGUAAACUGCUUUUGUACGGAACGAAACGGUCCGGGUUAAUACCCUGGGCUAAUGACGGUACCGUAAGAAUAAGCACCGGCUAACUACGUGCCAGCAGCCGCGGUAAUACGUAGGGUGCAAGCGUUAAUCGGAAUUACUGGGCGUAAAGCGUGCGCAAGCGGUUUUGUAAGACAGGCGUGAAAUCCCCGGGCUCAACCUGGGAAUUGCGCUUGUGACUGCAAGGCUGGAGUGCGGCAGAGGGGGAUGGAAUUCCGCGUGUAGCAGUGAAAUGCGUAGAUAUGCGGAGGAACACCGAUGGCGAAGGCAAUCCCCUGGGCCUGCACUGACGCUCAUGCACGAAAGCGUGGGGAGCAAACAGGAUUAGAAACCCCGGUAGUCC